rnacentral:lncRNA from 1 species
CGUCUAUUUUGUCAUGUAGGUUCAGUAGGUACCUAAAAUUUCUCCCUCGUUUUGUCAUGUACUCCACAAUGUGGUUUCAAUUUACUUCUUGUUUUCUAGUUCUUAUCCAUACCAGCAUGCCAUCAGUAUGUUGAGUUGCCUAUUAUUAACAUUUGUUAAAUGUGCAAAGCCUGAAAGUAACAAUGUACUUGCACUAGGAUUAUUUAGACAAAACACCAACAGAUUCAGAGGCUAAAAAUAUAUAACCAUGUCCUAAAUUUUUUAACAAAUUACAAUCCAGAGACAUUCAUCACUAACAAAGAGUUCAAAUGAAAUGUAAUUAGAUUGCUGCCAAUCAAGGCAACAAGCUAUUCCAAUCCACAAAAGUUUAUAUCAGCAGGCAUCAAAUUCCUGGCCACCAAGAGUUCUAUAACCAACUUCAAAGCAUAACUUCUUAAACACAUUUAUAUGAUAUAAUAAUAAUAAUAAAGUACAAAUCCCAAGUUAAUGUCAUUAUUCCCUCAAAAUGCUACAGUAUAGCAAAUAAGAUUAAAUCUUUUGUUCUUCCCCUCCCCCCCCCCCCCCUCCUCCCCAGGAAUUACAGGCAUUCCCCCGGUACACGGAUGAUUAAAUUAAAAUUAUAAAUCCAAAAUAUUAAACCAAAAGGACUGAUACCGAUCGAUCAGAAAUUGAGAAUUCCACAUAUCAACUUGGAAAUCGUAGAUAUUUUAGAAUAAAAGAAGAAGAAUGAUUGAUUCUACUAUGAAAUUUUAAUACCAAUCUUUCAAAUCAUCCACCAGAUGGUCGCCACACCCUUUCCAUCAAAAUUUCAAAUGUUCCACUCCAAAAGAUCGUAUCCCCUGUUAAAGUCCAAUCUGAAAGUAAUCAAUCAAUACAAAGAACGGUUCGUGUUGAAGGCGAAAAAGAGUAAAAAUCCAAGCUGACGAGUUCAUAUAAUCAAUAAAAAGAAUGAUUCGUAAGGGGAAAGAAACCUGAAACCACGAGCUUUAAAAAUUCGACCAUCAAAAGGUCACUCCAUGAAAUCCAUAAAUCAUACACCUCACACCUAUCACUGUGAAACCCAAAACUCAUCCUCCUCAUCGAUCUCCGUGAAUCUUAUAAAUCAUCCCCUCAAUUGAGUCAUUUUAGUAAAUCAUCACUCUCUUGCAGGUACGGUCUUGAAUUGAUCCUGCCCCGAAAAAUCCUAACAAAAAUUCUUUAAGAAAUCUUUCCAUCGUCUUAUCCAUGAAUCCUCCCAUAUUCAUACCAAAUGAUGGAAAAUAAAUAAAUAAAUAAAUAAAACCUCUAUCUGGAUAGGCACCGGAAUUUUCAUACGUGUGUACGCACAUAGACUUGUACUAUAUGCACAGAGACAACAUGUACUUUACGCACAGAGACAUGUAUCGUACACGUCCAAUACUGUACACAGAGAUCAGACGCAUACUGUAACAACGAGAACCGAUGUGAAAUGCACCCACAGAGAAGACGGGUUCCAUGCUCAAAGAGCCAACGUUUAACGUAGACGAUGCGUCGAUGACCAGAGGCUCCAUGCAAGAUUCUCUCCAUUCAAGAAACAUCAUCUGGAGACUAGAAAUCUAAGAAGGAUGUCAAAAAUCCUUAAAGAAAAUAAAUUCGGCUAGAGGCAAAAACCAUUUGAUGCAUAUAUAGAAAUAUCAUUCAAAAAGAACAUGUUUGACUCUAUGAAUCAGGCUCCUGAAAACAAAUUGUCAAGGAAACAAUCAAAAUAAAGAAUUUUGUCCAAAGCCUUUAUCUUCUAUUAUUAUCUAAUAAUUCCCCCACUACAAAGCCCAAACAAUCCUCUUGCACAUGACUUACCCCCUCCUUUUGUUAGCCAAUUUGAAGUUUACAUAAAAGGAAAUCCUAGUGGGAUCAUGGAUAUAUUUUUAAUGGAAAUCCUAUUAUAAUCUGUAUUUUGGCUAUAGUAUAUUUUAUGAUACACAAUAUGACAUGCCACACCACAAUACAACAAACAAAACAUACACACAUACACAUUCAGCAUUGAAAAAAAAUUUUGUUAACAGAAACACAUUGCCCUCACAAGAUAAGAAUGAAUUGAGCAAAUUUAUGUGAAAGUAAGAUAGAAUUAGUUGCGAAAGAGUUAAAAGUAAGACAAACAAGACAGAAUUUCAAAAGGGGAAAACUCUCAAAUCAUUGGAUUAGUUGGGAUUGACGGGGCUCGAACCCGCAACUUCCGCCUUGCAAUAGCAUUGUUGUCACCAAUUGAACUACAAUCCCAAGGACAGGUCACAAUGGUCAAUAUAAAUAAUCAAACAAACUGCACAAAUUAGUACUUACAUACAUUUUGAAAAUCAUACAUCUUUAAAAUAGACCUUGUAAGUAAAAAGAAAAAUCAAUUCAUGUUAUAUGUUGUCAACCCCACACACCACAUCAUAUUAUUUCCUGCAGAAAUAACAAACAAUUAUAAGCCCAAAAGACAAUGAAUUCAAAAUCAUGAAACCUACACACAAAAUAAUGAGAAGUUUAAAGCAAGGGAAAUACAAAAUGGAACGUUUUUCAAAGAUGAGGCCAUGCCCUAUAUAAAGUAUAAGAUAAAAGCCAAUAAUUGCAUAUGAAAAAAGAAAAAAAAGAAAUAUAAGAUAAAAGCCCAAUAAGUGCAAAACACACAUUUUCUUCAUUCAUCUGAAAAUGAAAACAAAAGCAGAAGUGUACCAACCUCUACUUCUCUUGUCCUGAAGAAUAUAUGCAAAUUUGUUUAAUAUAAUUAUCAAAGCAUUCUUAUAAAGAUUUCAAAACUCUCAAAGGCAUAUAAUCAUAAAGCAUUCUUACAACCCCUCGUAUUCAAACUCUGAUUGUUCAAUCAGCUGAUCCUCAUCAAUAAGAUAUUGUUCAAAUCAUCCAACCAUUCUACCUACACAUGGAAAUAAUGAGAAAAUAAAAAAAUGGCAAAAUAGAACUCUCUGGAGUUUGGUGGCAAACAAUUGGCUUGUCAAGUGCUAAACUCAUAAAAGGAAGUAAAAUAAAAAAAAUAUCCACAACAAAUGGUGAUUCUCAUUAGAGGACCCUUAGGUUGCCAUAGAUGAAAAUCUACCUAAAACAAAUAUUUCAUAGAAAGUCUUGGACUAAAGGUGAAAUUAUUAAUGCAAAAGACAAGCACACAAAGCACAUGAAAAUGGGAAAUGAAACCCUUGUUUUCCAAAUAUGAGCGAGAUUGUGAGAUAAACCUACGAUGAAAUGGGAAAUGAAACCCUAGUUUUCCAAAUAUGAGCGAGAUUAUGAGAUAAACCCAUGAUGCCCAUUCCACAGUAUUUUUAUUUAUUGCAUUUUGUAUAUACAACAAAGGAGACCAACCUCUUCCAGUUAACAACAUCACUUACUUCCUCCAGUUGUGGAAAAACAUGCAGAUACUUGGAGAUGAUCAUCAAAGCAUACUUAUAAUACCUAGUUAACCCAACAUUGAUGGAGAUGAGUACAUUGCCAAAAAACAAAUUGGAAGAAAUCCGAAAGAUCAGGUUUCUAAACCCAUACUUAGAAAUAGAAAAUAAAAGAAACCAUAAAUAAUAUAAAAGUUUAAGAAUGAAUGUGAUCUCCCCAUCUGAUGACCCAAGCUUUUAAGUUGGUAAAAUAGCUGCCAUGCAACAUACAUUACUUCAGCAUUAUUGACAUAGCUCCACUCUAUCAACAUCAUAGAUGCUAUGCACAAAAAUUGGGACAUCUCUUAGCUAACCUGCACACACAUAAAUUACCAACCCUGCAUCCCAUGAUUCAUCCUAUUUAAAGAAACUGUUAAAGUAUAUAUGCUUCAAAUAAAAACCAAAUCACAAAUCAAAUAUCUUAAAAGGAUUGAAAGAUGACAUGCUGAUACCAAAAAAAAAAGAGGGAACGGCCAACUUUGAUUAAUGAAAAAUAAUUCAUAUUAAGAGUGAAAAAAAAUAAAUGAAAGAAAUGAACUUAUCUUCAUUGUCAACCUGGAUAACUUAAGCUAACUAUCAUACCUAUUUCCCAUAGAAACCACAAUUAUCAUUAGAAAACAAUUUUCUAGCCGGGUGCCCACCAAGUCAUGCAUACCACAUGCAUUGAAAAGAGCAGAAAAAUGCUGACAUACAACUAAAACCUAAAAAUCACUCAAGAAAAAAACAGCCCCUAAUAUAACUUCAAAAAUCCAUGUCAUGUCAAUAUUGUUUAUCUGAUUGAUAACAGUACAAAUUCCAGAUGAGGAACCUGAACCAUGGAUGACUCGCAUGUUCAAGGAAUAAACUCCAACACAAUCUUGUUGUAGCAAAAUACAAACACAGACAUGGGUUAAAACCCCACAUCCCACCAUGUGUGCAUUUCAAAAAAGCAAAAACAAUGAGCAUCUCUCUUCCCAUUAUUAAGUGUACUUCUACAGUGUAUUGAGUAGCAGGACCUAAAAUCUAGUCAAAUUUGUGUUUCCAUAUUCCUACAACAACACUCCCUAUUCAAAAGCUUAUCAGGGCCAUGGUCUGUUAUAGGUGAGACAAAUCCACUACCAUAGAAAAUAUAUCUCACAUAGAAUUUGAGAAUGUAAAAAAACCAAAUCACCAAAAUUUUACCUCAAAAACUUGCAGAACAAGGAAAAAGCAUCAAAAGGAAACCAAGAGAGGAAACAAAACCCACCUUACACCCCCAAAAUUACCCAACAUUAAUUCAUGAUGCAGUGUCACAGAUUAUUGAAGUAGAUAAAAAAACAUUCAGAUUGAAUUUCAAAGCAUACAAACUUAAAAUCCAUCAGCCUGUAUAUAGGAACAACUGAUAUCCCAGAGCUAUAACUAAAGAGGAACCAAGGAUUUAGGAGAUUCCUCAAAAGAAAUCCAACACCUUCCAUACAGUAGGUCAUACUUUACCGUCCAACAUAGCAGCAUGCCAUCAGUAUGUUGAGUUCCCAAAACGUUUGUUAAAUGUGCAAAGCCUACAAGUAGUAACAAUGUACUCGCACAUUAACCUUUUUAGACAAAACACCAACAGAUUCAGAGGCUAAAAAUAUACAACUAUGUCCCAAAUUUUUUAACAAAUUACUGACAAAACCAGGGACAUUCAUUACUAUCAAUUGAAAUGUAAUCAGAUUGCUGCCAAUCAAGGCAACGCAUUGCUUAUUCAAAGCUAUUAAUCCAAUCCACCCAUAAAAGCUCAUUUCAGUUGCAUCAUAUUCCAACCCACCAAGUGUUAUAAUCUAUCACCAACUUCAAAGCAUGACUUCCUACACGCGUAUGUAUAAUAUAAUAAUAAUAAUAAAGUACAAAUCCCAAGUUAAUGUCAUUAUUACCUCAACAUGCCACGGUAUAGCAAAUAAGAUUAAAUCUUUUGUUCUUCCUUCCUCUCCCCUGGAAUUACAGCCAUUCUCCGUAUACAGUUAAAUUAAAAUUAUUAAGCCAAAUUACUUACCCAAAAGGACUUAUUCCGAUCUAUCAGAAAUUGAGAAUUUCUCAUAUCAACCUGGAAAUCAUAGAUAUUUUAGAAUAAAAGAAGAGGGAUUCGUUCCACGUCUUAAAUUAUAAUACCAAUCUCAAUGAAUCUUUCAAAUCAUCUACCAGAUGGUCACCCUUUCCGUCAAAACUUCGAAAGAUCUACUCCCAAAGAUUGUAUCCCCUUUUAAAGUCUAAUCUGAAAGUAAUCAAUCAAUAAAAAGAAUGGUUCGUGAAGAAGGGGAAAGGAAGUAAACAUCCAUUCUGAUCAGUAAUCAAUAACAAGAACGAUUCGUAAGGGGAAGAAACCUGAACCGAAUUGAUCCUGCCCCGAAAAACCCUGACAAGAAUCCUAUGAGAAAUCAUUCCAUCCUUUUAUAAAACCCUCAUCGAUCAUCUGAUAUCAUAUCCAAUCGUCUUACAAAACCCACGAAACCUCCCAUGUUCAUAUAGAAUGCUGAAAAAAAAACCCUAAAAAUCAUAUCAUCGAUCACCAUAUAAAACUAACCUAAAAACCCACCGCCUUCAUCUUCCAGAUCAAUAUCCUUUGCUUCAAUAUCUCGGCCCCUCUACCAGGAUUUUAUAGGCUCCGGAAUUUUCAUACGCGUACUAAACGCGGAGAGCCGACACGUACUGUACACGGAGAGACGACGCGUACCGUGCGCUGGGAGCCCACACGUACUGUAACGACGAGAACCGACGCGAAAUGCACCAGCAGAUCCAUGCGCACAGAGCUAGCGUAACACGGUACGCGAUGACUAAAGGCUCCAUGAAAGGUACCCUCUUUCUAAACUCCGCCUUGGGCCUGAGAAUUUCAGCAAAAUCUGGGCCCACAUCUCCUAAGCAUCCCAACUCCCAAACGGUGAGCCCGGAUGGUUUCCGAUGGUGUACUUGUCAUUUUGGGAAAGUAUAGCAAUUUUUUUAAAAAUAUUUAUUGAAAUAUGACACAUUUAAAACUUUUGUUAUUCUAAUAAAUAUUUUAAAAUUUUUAUUCAAAUAGACUCAUAUGGGCUCUUAAAUGAUACCUUAUGAUUAAAGUGCUUCAAAAACACAAGUAAUUAUUGUAACAACAUGGAGAUUGUUGUGCUUUUACCAGCUCCAUUGUAUCCUUCGAAAAAACAAUUCAAAAAUAUACGAGAGAAACAAAUCAACCAAUAAGAACAGUUCCCUUAGUAACAUUAUUUACUUCACGAUAUUUGCAUAGCAUAAAUUUAUAUAAAUAUAGUCAAAAUUAUAAACAAAAAGUACUAGUUAAUAAAAUAUAUUGAAAAAUAAAUGCAAACAGAAUUAUCUUGAUAUUUUAAAUUGAUAUAGUUAGAAAACAACCUAAAAAAAUGAAAGAAAGUAAAGAGCAUAGAAGGCAAUUGAACGUGCUGACCUAGAAGAGCAAGAAUUUGAUUUUCAUACAAGAUGAGUCGUAAUGGCUACAUUAUGAAAGUUCCAUGGAGAGCGAACUCCAUUCUCCCAAGGAAUAUAACUUGGUCAAAUGAACAAACUUCUAAAAAUUACAUCACAAACCGAAUAUUGCAUGUAAUGAUAAAAUGUGUAUGAGAAAAACAUUCUUCCAAAGGCAUACCCAUUUCAAGGCAAAUUCUACAUUGAAAAACAAACCAAAAUGAAAUGAAAUGAACAAGUAACUACAUUAGUAUAUUUCAACAACAUCCAAAUACAAGGAAAAUGUUGGAAGACAUGCCUUAUCCAGGGAAAGACAAAUGACACAGUACAACAAUGUGCCGAGAAACAUCAAAUCAAAAAAUUUACCCUAGAUGAAGCCCUAGAGAUAUCAGAGUUGAAAUUUCAAAAAUUAGAUAAAACAAACAAACAACCAAGGCUAAAUACAAAAUAAUACCUGUCAUAUAUUGCUCUAAAUGAGAGUUAUAAGGAAAUGUCAAAGAAAAUAAAUUCGGCUAAUCACGAAUCAGGUUCCUGAAAAUAAAUUGUCAACAAGACCCAACUCCAAAGCCCUAACAAUCUGUUGCACACCACUUACAUAAAUGUAAAUACUUUAUCCCUACCCUCAUGCUUUCAUUUUUUUUUCCCUCUUCUUUUGUUAGCCAAUUUGAAUAUCCAUUGAAGAGUAUGGUUCACAUUAAGGAAGUCCCAACGGGAACCUUGGACGCCUUUUUUACUCCUUAAAGAGUAAGAGACCAAGCUAAAGUUGGAAAUUGACCUAAAACACCAAUAACUAACAUAAGUUUUGUGGUCAAACAAACCAAAGCUCACUCAAACAAACAAAUAUGCAAACUAUGGAUACAUUUUUUUACGGCAAUCCUUUUAUAAUCUGUAUUUUAGCUAUAGUGUAUUUUAUGAUUCCGAGUAUAUAAAUGAUACAAAAUAUAACAUGUGAUACCAUAAUACAACAAACAAUACAUACACAUUCAGCUAAAAAUCAAUUUAAAAAAACUUUUGUUGCAAAUUUAUGUGAAACAGUAAAAGUAAGUAAUGCAUAAGUCAGAAUUUCAAAAGUGGAAAACCCUCAAAUCAUUAAAGUUGGGGUUGACAAAGCUUGAAUCCGCAACUUCUACCUUGCAAUGGCAUUGUUGUGACCGAUUGAACUACAAUCCUAAGAAAUGAUCAUAAUAGUCAAUAUAAAUAAUCAAACAAACUGCACAAAUCAAUACUUGAUAUACAUUUCAAAAAUCAUACAUCUUUCAAAUAUACCUCACACAUAAAAAGAAAAAUCAAUUCAUGUUAUAUGACUUACAAAUCCAAAAUCCACAAUGAAUCCAAAAUCAUGAAACCUAUACACAAACUAAUAAGAAGUAAAGCACGGGAAACAAAAAAUGGAAUGUUUUUCACAAAUAGGGGGUGCGAUAACCAUUUAUUAUACUUUUGUUUGAUGCAUUUUGCAAAAAGCUGUAUUUUUUAUAUGGAAACAACACAUCUUCAUUCAUUUGAAAAUGAAAACAAAAGCAAAAAGCAUACCAACCUCAGCAUCUUUUCUUGUCUUGAAAAUUUGUUUAAUAUAAUUAUCAAAGCAUCCUUAUAAAGAUUUUCAAACUCCCAAAGGCAUAUAAUUAAUUAUUAAAGAAUUCUUACAACCCCUAGUAUUCAAAUUCUGAUUGUUCAUUCAGCCGAUCCUCUUCAAUAAGAUUAUGUUCAAAUCAUCAAAACAUCACAUUCACUCUUAAACUUCUGUUCUUUGUAUUAUUUAUGGUUUCUUUUAGUUUCUGUCUCUAAGUAUGACCAACUCCCCCAUCCUAUGACCCAAGCUUUUUAAGUUGAUAAAAUAGCUGUCAUGCAGCAUAUGUUAUUUCCUUAAACGUUGUCAUAUCUCCACUCUAUCAACAUCAUUGCUGAUAGUCUGCACUUAUCCACAACAAAUGGUAAUUCUCAUUAGAGGACCCUUAGGUUGCCAUAGAUGAAAAUCUACUAAAACAAAUAUUUCAUAGAAAGUCGUCAACUAUAAAGGUGAAAUUAUUAAUGCUUUUGACAAGCACACAAACCACAUAUGAAGAUGGAAAAUGAAACCCUUGUUUUCCAAAUAUGAGCAAGAUUGUGAGAUAAACCCAUGAUACCCAUUCCACAGUAUUUUUAUUUAUUGCAUUUUGUAUAUACAAUAAAGGAAACCUCUUCCAGUUAACAACAUCACUUACUUCCUCCAGUUGUGGAAAAACAAGAUGAUACUUGGAUAUGAUCAUCAAUGUAUACUUAUAACACCUGGUUAACCCAACAUUGAUGGAGAUGAGUACAUUGCCAAAAAACAAAUUGAAAGAAAUCCAAAAGAUCAGGUUUCUAAACCCAUACUUAGAAAUAGAAAAUAAAAGAAACCAUAAAUAAUAUAAAAGUUUAAGAAUGAAUGUGAUCUCCCCCAUCCUAUGACCCAAGCUUUUAAGUUGGUAAAAUAGCUGCCAUGCAACAUACAUUACUUCAUUGUUGACAUAGCUCCACUCUAUCAACAUCAUAGAUGCUAUUUGGCACAAAAAUUGGGACAUCUCUUAGCUAACCUGCACACACAUAAAUUACCAACCAUCCCAUGAUUCAUCUUAUUUAAAGAAACUGUAAAAGUAUAGAUGCUACAAAUAAAAACCAAAUCACAAAUCAAAUAUCUUAAAAGGAUGGAAAGAUGGCAUGCUGCUAAAAAAUAGGCAACCAAAGAAAAAAAAGUGGGAGCAGCCAACUUUGAUUAAUGAAAAAUAAAUGAAAGAAAUGAACUUACCUUCAUUGUCAACCUGGAUAACUCAAGCUAACUAUCAUACCUAUUUCCCAUAGAAACCACAAUUAUCAUUAGAAAACAAUUUUCUUGCCGGGUGCCCACCAAGUCAUGCAUACCACAUGCAUUGAAAAGAGCAGAAAAAUGCUGACAUAUAACUAAAACCUAAAAAUCACUCAAGAAAAAAACAGCCCUUAAUGUAACUUCAAAAAAUCCAUGUCAUGUCAAUAUCAUUCGGUUUAUCUGAUUGAUAACAGUACAAAUUCCAGAUAAGGAACCUGAACCAUGGAUGACUCACAUGUUCAAGGAACAAACUCAAACACAAUCUUGUUGUAGCAAAAUACAAACACAAACAUGGUUAAAACCCCUCAUCCCACCAUCUGUGCAUUUCAAAAAAGCAAAAACAAUGAGCCUCUCUCUUCCCAUUAUUAAGUGUACUUCUACAGUGUAUCGAGUAGCAGGAAUUAAAAUCUAGUCAAAUUUGUGUUUCCAUAUUCCUACAACAACACUCCCUAUUCAAAAUCUUAUCAGGGCCAUGGUCUCUUAAAGGUGAGACAAAUCCACUACCAUAGAAAAUAUAUCUCACAUAGAACUUGAGAAUGUACAAAAACCAAAACACCAAAAUUUUACCUCAAAAACUUGCAGAACAAGGAAGAAGCAUCAAAAGGAAUCCAGGAGAGGAAACAAAACCCACCUUACACCCCCAAACAUACCCAACAUUAAUUCUAUGAUGCAGUGUCACAGAAUAUUGAAGUAGAUAAAAAACAUUCAGAUUGAAUUUCAAAGCAUACGAACUUAAAAUCCAUCAGCCUGUAUAUAGGAAGAACUGAUAUCCCAGAGCUAUAUCUAAAGAGUAACCAAGGAUUUAGGAGAUUCCUCAAAAGAAAUCCAACACCUUCCAUACAGUGGGUCAUACAUGUACUUCGAAAUAGAAAAUAAAGGAAACCAUAAGUAAUAUAAAAGGUUUAAGAAUGAAUGUUACCCAAUGGAAAAAUGACAGGCUGCUAAAAUAAGCAACAAAAAAAAACGAGGGGCCAACUUUGAUGAUAAAAGAAAAAUAAAUCAUAUUGAGGGUAAAAAAAAUACAUGAAAGAAAAGAACUUAUCUUCAUUGUCAAACAAGGUAACUCCAGCAAGCUAUUAUACCUAUUUCCCAUAGAAACCACAAUUAUUAUUACAAAACAAUUUUCUUGUCGGGGUGUACCCACCAAGUCAUGCAUAAAAAAAAGCAUUAAAAAAAGUAGAAAAAUGCUGACAUACAACCAAAACCUCAAAAUCACUCAAGAAAAAGACAGCCCUUAAUAUAACUCCAAAAAUCCAUAUUAUAUCAUUAUCAUUCUGUUCAUCCAAUUCAUAGCAAUACAAAUUUCAGAUAAGGAACCUGGAACCAUGGAUGACUCAAAAAUCCAUAUCAUAUCAACAUCAUUCUUUUUAUGCAAUUGAUAGCAAUACAAAUUUCAGACAAGGAACCUGAACCAUGGAUGACUCACACUGUUCAAGGAACAAGCUCAAAUACAAUCUUAGUGUAACAAAAUACAAACACAGACACCGUUAAAACCAACAACCCCCCCUCAUCCCACCAUGGGCGCCUUUUCAAAAGGCAAAAACAAUGAGCCUCUCUUCUCAUUAUGAAGUGUAUUUCUACUGCAUGUUAACUAGCAUGACCUAAAAUCUAGUCAAAUUUGUGUUCCCAUAUUCCUGAAACAGCAUGCCCUAUUCAAAAGCAUAUCAGGACCAUGGUCUCUUAUGCAUCCAAGGAUCGAGUUAAGGAUAAAGAAGCCUAAAAUCUGAGUGAUGGAUGAUGGAGAACAGCAAGCAUGAGUUGCGUUCCAUCCAAUCCAGAUUUAGUUUAGUGGCUUUUUCUACUGCAUGUUGAGUAGCAUAUCACCAAAAAUCUAGUCAAAUUUGUGUUCCCAUAUUCCUACAACAGCACGCUCUAUUAAAAAGCAUAUCAGGACCAUGGUCUCUUAUGUAUCCAAGCAUCAAGUUAAGGAUAAAGAAGCCUAAAAUCUGAGUGAUGGAUGAUGGAGAAUAGCAAGCAUGAGAGUUGUGUUCCUUCCAAUCCAGAUUUAGUUUAGUGUCUUAUGAUGCUUUUGGAAGGUUCUAGUUCCACAUCUGAUCCUAAUCUGCUUAGUGGUGUCAUUAUUUGUGAUUUAACAUUUCCUAAAGUUGGAUCAUAAAAUCUAAACAAAGAAAAUCUGAGUAAUUAUCACAUAAAUCCUCUUAUUCUUACUACUUCUCACAACUCAUAAAUGUAUUGGGAUCAUGUGUAAAAUCUCUACGCCUUGCUAUGCUAUCCAUUGGGGAUGGAUAGUUCUAAAAAUCAAAUGUUCCUCUAUUUGGCCUUGAGAUAUCCAAGAGAAAGCAUUCCUGCCAACAAGAAAAAUGUCCCAUAUUGAGGCAGAAAAAGAAGAAGAUAAACCAUAAUUCUAUGUAGGACAAUAAAAAAUAUCCCAAAUUGAGGCAGACGAAGAAGAAGAAGAAGAAGAUAAAUCAUAAUUCUAUGUAGUGGUCCCUCUUCAAAUUCCACAACACAUCAUAUUUCUUCCUGCAAAAACAACAACAAUAGUAGCCAAACACGGUAGGCACUCCAAAUAACAACAACAAUCAACAGCCAAACACCUUCUGUUAGCCCUCCAAAUAAUCUUGUUCCAUCAUGCUUAUCUAAACUCAGAGCAUUGAGUAUAUUAGGAGGAUAAGCUACAGAUGUCAAUACCUAAAUCACUGAUGCUGAGUUGGGUUUCAGCCCAACCAAACAGAUAUAGCUGAAAUCUAAAUAAAGAUGCAAUCCCAUUUNNNNNNNNNNNNNNNNNNNNNNNNNNNNNNNNNNNNNNNNNNNNNNNNNNNNNNNNNNNNNNNNNNNNNNNNNNNNNNNNNNNNNNNNNNNNNNNNNNNNNNNNNNNNNNNNNNNNNNNNNNNNNNNNNNNNNNNNNNNNNNNNNNNNNNNNNNNUAUACAAGUAACCUAACUGGGCCUAGAGCCCAUAACAUAAUAUACUUUAACAGCCCCCCUUAACUUCAAGGUGGAUGUGAGACCAACUUGAGGUUGUCAACUAAAUCACGAGUGCGUCUCUUAGGAAGAGACUUGGUGAAGAUAUCUGCAAGUUGAUCUUUGGAGGAGAUGGAGAAAAGCUUAAGAGUACCAUGGACAAGAUGAUAACGGAUAAAAUGACAAUCAAUCUCGAUGUGUUUAGUCCGUUCAUGAAAGACAUCAUUGUGAGCAAUAUGAAUAGCACUCUGGUUGUCACAAUAAAGAGGAGUAGCAGAGGAGGUGGAUACACCCAAAUCCUUAAGAAGCCAUCUUAGCCAAAGGAGCUCAGAUGUGGUAUCAGCAAGGGCACGAUAUUCUGCUUCAGUACUGGAGCGGGCCACAAAAGUUUGUUUCUUACUUCGCCAAGAAAUCAAAGAAGAACCAAGGAGGAAGCAAUAACCUGUAGUGGACCUGCGAUCAGUAGGAUCUCCUGCCCAAUCAGCAUCUGAGAAUGCACGGAGUACAAGAGGAGACUGAGCUGAGUAGAAAAGGCCAUGAAAAAGGGUACCCUUCAGGUAUCGAAGAAUGCGCAGAACAGCAGCAUAGUGAGUUGAUCGUGGAGCAGACAAAUACUGGCUCACCUGAUGAACAGCAUAGGAGAUGUCUGGACGAGUAACUGUGAGGUAAACUAAGCUGCCAACCAAUCAUCUGUAAAGAGAAGGAUUAUGUCUCCUAUAUAAAGGCACUGAUGUAUAUUAUUUAAAAACAGAAUAGAAUACAAUUAUUCUAUAUUUAUCACAUGGUAUCAGAGCCACUGCUCUGACCUUUUCUUAGCAGUCUUGUCUUCAUUAGUGUGACUUCCUUUCUUUCACUAAACGCUUCCGCCAUCACAACUGCCGCUGUAGCCUCUUGUAGUUGAACCUCCGACGUCAUCCAGUCGUCGUCCUUGGGUUCCGGACCUGCAGCCGCCGUCGUUAAGAAGUUUCACACUGCACAGACCACUGCUCUUUGCAUCACCGCUACGAAUAUUGCUCCGAUUUCAUUUUUGAAGGUACCACUGAGAUCGUCCAGCACCGAUCUACACAUUCGUGGAUAUCUCGCCUCCAUCGGAGACCGCACGCGCCCCCACGCGCUGCUCAAAGAUUCUGCGGCGCCUCCACGCGCUGCCACGCGUCAUGCCUGGUCUGCUGACGUCAUCAUCUCUGCCACGUCAGCCCUAGCUGCGUCAGCAUCCACUGAUCUGCUGACGUCAUCUUCAACCGUUGUCCGUUGACCGUUGAUCAGUCGUUAGCCGUUGACCGUUGACCAGUUGUUGACCGUUGACUUUUCGGUUGACUUUUUCCCGCCAGGUUCUCCUUUCCCAGUUUUUCGUGUAGAUUUCAUUUCUGCAGUCGGUUUUUGCAUAUUGUGUCUCUAAAUGGAUAAGAAGGAUGUUUUUCUUCCUCGCCCCAUCCAUACUGUAUUGGAGAGGAAUAAAAAUUACUUAUCCUGGUCUCAAGCUAUGCACAGUUUUCUUAAGAGCCGCAUGCUCUGGCAUUAUUGUACUGGUGCAAUGACUAUUCCUGUCAAGGGAGCAAGUGAAGAAGAUGUUGUCUUUCUUAGUCGCAUGAUUGAAUGGGAUAGUCAUAACCACAUGAUCCUCACAUGGAUCCGGAACACUUUCAUUCCCUCUAUUUCCAAUCUAUUGGGCAGCUUUGACGAUGCAAAAUCUGCAUGGAAUAUGUUGACCAAAAGGUACUCCACUACUCAUGGAUCCAUGAAAUAUCAGUUAGUGGUUGAAUUGCAUCAACUCAGGCAAGAACCGGGGCAAUCCAUCAAUGACUAUUAUGAUCAGCUUCGCUUCAUUUGGGACCAAAUUGACCUUUCUGAUCCAACUUGGGCAUGCUCAAAAGAUGCUCUGCAAUAUGCUUCCAUCAGAGAUGAAUUUCGCCUAUAUGAAUUCUUGAUGUCACUUCACAAGGACUUUGAGCCCAUUCGUGGUCAGCUGCUAAAUUGCAAUCCUGCUCCCUCUCUUGAUACUGUUGUGAAUGAGUUGGUUAGAGAAGAAGCUCGUCUUGCAACCCUUCAAGCCCAGAAUAAGCUCAAUGUUUUGGCUAUUACUCCAUCUACUCCACUCAUAGAGCAACCUCAGCAAUUCGGUGAUUUUUCUGGCUCUAGCGAUCGUCGCAAGCAAACCAACAAGAAGUUCUACAACUAUUGCAAGCGUCCUGGCCACACCAUUAAGACUUGUUACCGUCGUAACAAAUCUACUGCUGCUGUUGCUAAUACUGAACCUACUCCGCCAACGGUUUCCACGUCCCAGUCUUCUGGAUCUACUAUCAACCUCUCCUCCACUGAACUACAGGAGAUCAUAGCUCAGGCUGUUCGUAUGGCUGGUAAUGCAUCUCUUUCCACUGCCUUAUUUGUUCUACCUUGUAAGUCUCAAACUUGGCUCUUUGAUUCUGCCUGCUGCAAUCACAUGACACCUCACUCAUCCCUGUUCUCCAACCUUGGCCCUGCACCACAUCCUCUAAAUAUUCAUAUAGCCGAUGGUUCCACCAUGCAUGGAAAUAGUCUAGGUUUUGUUUCAAUCUCUACUCUUUCUGUUCCUGGAGUCUUCCACGUACCUGCCCUAUCCUAUAAUUUGUGCUCUGUGGGACAAUUAGUUGAACUAGGUUAUCGCCUUAUUUUUUACUAUUCUGGGUGUAUUGUGCAGGAUCCGAGGACGGGGCAGGAGCUUGGGACCGGUCCUAGAGUUGGGCGUAUGUUUCCCGUGAACAAUCUUCAUCUUCCACCUGUUGCUCCUGUUUCUGUUGCUGCUGCAGCAGCUGCAGUUUCUUCCUUACCUUCUCUUGCACUUUGGCAUUCUCGUCUUGGUCAUGCACCAUCUUCUCGGGUACAACAGUUAGUGUCUAGAGGUCUGUUGGGUUCUGUGUCUAAAGACAAUUUUGAUUGCACUUCAUGUCAGUUAGGAAAACAACCAGUUUUGCCUUUUAAUAACAGUGAAUCCAUUUCUAAAAGUAUUUUUGAGUUAAUUCAUUCUGAUGUUUGGGGGCCUUCUCCUGUUGCUAGUAUUGGUGGAUCUCGAUAUUUUGUUGUUUUUAUUGAUGAUUAUUCUCGUUAUAGUUGGAUUUUUCCUAUGAAAUCUCGUUCCGAAAUUUUAUCAAUAUAUAGCAACUUUGCAAAAAUGGUUGAAACUCAAUUCUCCAAACGUAUCAAAACCUUUCGAUCUGAUAAUGCUCUUGAAUAUACUCAACAUGCAUUUCAAGCUCUGUUAAAUUCCUAUGGCACUAUACAUCAUCUAACUUGUCCAGGUACCUCUCAGCAAAAUGGUCGAGCCGAAAGAAAACUUCGUCAUAUUCUUGACACUGUUCGUGCUCUACUUCUUUUUGCCAAAAUUCCUGCCCCAUUUUGGGGUGAAGCUAGUCUUCAUGUUGUUCAUGCAAUUAACCGCAUUCCAAGUGUUGUCAUCCAUAAUCAGACUCCGUAUGAGCGUCUCUUUGGGUCACCCCCUAACUAUCAUCACCUUCGCUCCUUUGGAUCCGCUUGUUUCGUUCUUCUUCAGCCUCAUGAGCACAACAAACUUGAGCCUCGAUCUAGACUCUGUUGUUUCCUUGGUUAUGGCGAAACUCAAAAGGGGUAUAGGUGUUAUGAUCCUGUCUCUCAUCGUCUUCGUGUUUCUCGUAAUGUUGUCUUUUGGGAACAUCGAUUGUUUGUUGAACUCUCUCACUUUCGUUCUUCCUUGACUAACUCCUCUGUUUUAGAAAUUUUUCCCGAUGAGUCUCUUGUUCCUUCUACAAAUACUUUUGAUCCUCAUUUGGACUUCUCUCCAGAUAUCUUUGAUGCUUCUCCUAGACAGGUUGCAGAUGAACAGAUUAAUAACGAGCUACCCCACUUUGAGCCUGGGUCCCCUGCUCCUGCUCUGCCUGAAGAUCCUCCACAAGACAUUCCACCUCGCCACUCAACCCGGGUAAGAUCCAUUCCUCCACACCUCCUUGACUAUCAUUGUUACACUGCCCUUGCUACACUUCACGAGCCUCAAACCUAUCGUGAGGCCUCUACUGACCCUUUAUAGCAGAUUGCAAUGAAAGAGGAACUUGAUGCAUUAACCAAAAACCAUACUUGGGACCUGAUUACUCUCCCUCCUGGACAGUAUGUGGUUGGUUGUAAGUGGAUCUAUAAGAUCAAGACUCGCUCUGAUGGAUCCGUUGAGCGCUAUAAGGCUCAUCUUGUUGCCAAAGGUUUUACACAAGAGUAUGGGAUUGAUUAUGAAGAGACGUUUGCUUUAGUUGCUCGUAUCUCAUCUGUUCGUGCUCUCUUAGCUGUUGCUGCUGCUCGUAAAUGGGAUCUUUUUCAGAUGGAUGUUAAAAAUGCCUUCCUUAAUGGGGAUCUGAGUGAAGAAGUCUAUACGCAACCUCCUCCUGGUCUCUCUGUUGAAUCAAACAAGGUUUGUCAUCUUCGACGUGCACUUUAUGGUCUAAAACAAGUCCCACGUGCUUGGUUUGCCAAGUUCAGCUCCACUAUUUUUCGCUUGGGUUACACCGCCAAUCCAUAUGAUUCUACCUUAUUUCUUCGUCUACUGAUAAAGGCACUAUUUUGCUUCUUCUCUAUGUGGAUGAUAUGAUCAUCACUGAUGAUGACCUUAGUGGCAUUCAAGAACUCAAGGAUUUUCUCAGUCAGCAGUUUGAGAUGAAAGAUCUUGGACAUCUCAGCUAUUUCUUGGGUCUUGAAAUUACUCAUUCCACAAAUGGUCUUUAUAUUACUCAAGCCAAGUAUGCUUCUAACCUGUUGUCUCAAGCUGGACUCACUGACUGCAAAACUGUUGACACUCCAGUUGAACUUAAUGUGCAUCUGACACCCUCGGGGGGGAAACCAUUGUCUAAUCCUUCUCUUUACAGACGAUUGGUUGGCAGCUUAGUUUACCUCACAGUUACUCGUCCAGACAUCUCCUAUGUUGUUCAUCAGGUGAGCCAGUAUUUGUCUGCUCCACGAUCAACUCACUAUGCUGUUGUUCUGCACAUUCUUCGAUACUUGAAGGGUACCCUUUUUCAUGGCCUUUUCUACUCAGCUCAGUCUCCUCUUGUACUCCGUGCAUUCUCAGAUGCUGAUUGGGCAGGAGAUCCUACUGAUCGCAGGUCCACUACAGGUUAUUGCUUCCUCCUUGGUUCUUCUUUGAUUUCUUGGCGAAGUAAGAAACAAACUUUUGUGGCCCGCUCCAGUACUGAAGCAGAAUAUCGUGCCCUUGCUGAUACCACAUCUGAGCUCCUUUGGCUAAGAUGGCUUCUUAAGGAUUUGGGUGUAUCCACCUCCUCUGCUACUCCUCUUUAUUGUGACAACCAGAGUGCUAUUCAUAUUGCUCACAAUGAUGUCUUUCAUGACGGACUAAACACAUCGAGAUUGAUUGUCAUUUAUCCGUAUCAUCUGUCCAUGGUNNNNNNNNNNNNNNNNNNNNNNNNNNNNNNNNNNNNNNNNNNNNNNNNNNNNNNNNNNNNNNNNNNNNNNNNNNNNNNNNNNNNNNNNNNNNNNNNNNNNUACAUCAGUGUCUUUAUAUAGGAGGCAUAAGUGUGUGGUACAAGGGUGCGGUACAAGUGUGCGGUACAAGUACUGUGCGGUACAAGUACUAUACAAGUAACCUAACUGGGCCUAGAGCCCAUAACAUAAUAUACUUUAACAACCCCCCUCAACUUCAAGGUGGAUGUGAGACCAACUUGAGGUUGUCAACUAAAUCACGAGUGCGUCUCUUAAGAAGAGACAUCAAGAAUUCAUAGAGGCGAAAUUUAUCUCUGAUGGAAGCAUAUUGCAGAGCAUCUUUUGAGCAUGCCCAAGUUGGAUCAGAAAGGUCAAUUUGGUCCCAAAUGAAGCGAAGCUAAUCAUAAUAGUCAUUGAUGGAUUGCCCCGGUUCUUGCCUGAGUUAAUGCAAUUCAACCACUAACUGAUAUUUCAUGGAUCCAUGAGUAGUGGAGUACCUUUUGGUCAACAUAUCCCAUGCAGAUUUUGCAUCGUCAAAGCUGCCCAAUAAAUUGGAAAUAAAGGGAAUGAAAGUGUUCCGGAUCCAUGUGAGGAUCAUGUGGUUAUGACUAUCCCAUUCAAUCAUGCGACUAAUAAAGGCAGCAUCUUCUUCACUUGCUCCCUUGACAGGAAUAGUCAUUGCACCAGUACAAUAAUGCCAAAGCAUGCGGCUCUUAAAAAAACUGCGCAUAGCUUGAGAUCAGGAUAAGUAAUUUUUAUUCCCCUCCAAUACAGUAUGGAUGGGGCGAGGAAGAAAAACAUCCUUCUUAUCCAUUUAGAGACACAAUAUGCAAAAACCGACUGCAGAAAUGAAAUCUACACUAAAAACUGGGUAAGGAGAACCUGGCGAGAAAAAGUCAACGGUCAAUGGCUGGUCAACGAUCAACGUCUGGUCAACGGUCAACAGUCAACGGCGAAGAUGACGUGGAGAUGACGUCAGCAGAUCAGUGGAUGCUGACGCAGCUAGGGCUGACGUGGCAGAGAUGAUGACGUCAGCAGACCAGGCCUGGCGCGUGGAGGCGCCGCAGAAUCUUUGAGCGGCGCAUGGGGGGGCGUGCGGUCUUCGAUGGCGGCGAGAUAUCCACGAAUGUGUAGAUCGGUGCUGGACGAUCUCAGUGGUACCUUCAAAAAUGAAAUCGGAGCAAUAUUCGCAGCGGUGAUGCAAAGAGCAGUGGUCUGUGCAGUGUGAAACUUCUUAACGACGGCGGCUGCAGGUCCGGAACCCAAGGACGACGACUGGAUGACGUCGGAGGUUCAACGACAAGAGGCUACAGCUUGAGAAUGUACAAAAAUCAAACAAAACCCACCUUACACCCCUAAACUUACCCAACAUUAGUUCAUGAUGCACUGUCAUAGAUUAUUCAAGUAGAUAAAAAACAUGAAUUUCAAACCAUACGAACUUUAAAAUCCAUUAGCCUGAUAUAGGAACAACUAAUAUCCCAGAGCUAUAGCUAAAGGAGAACUAAGGAUUAAGAGAUACCUCAAAAGAAAUAAGAAACAGAAGCUAGUAUAAUAACAGAAAAAUGAGUUUGAAAAAUUACCUAAAAAAAAACAUGAUUUUCUCAUUUUUGAGCUACUAUGAAAGAUAAUAAAAUUGAAUAUAAUUAAAAUUAGUGAGAAACUUAUAUAUUUUCAAAUUAUUUAACACAUGUUAAAAUAAUAUAUAUUAAAGUUUUACAGUUAAUUUUUUCUUCCUUCCACAAACAUAGCUCUCUCUAAGAAUUACUAUCGUCUAUUUUGUCGUGUAGGUUCAGUUGGUUCCUAAAAUUGGUCCCUCAAUUUGUCAUGUAGCCCACAAUGUGGUUUCAAUUUACUUCUUGUUUUCUAGUCCUUAUCCAUACCAGCAUGCCAUCAAUAUGUUGAGUUGCCUACUAUUAACAUUUGUUAAAUGGAUGACUCACUGUUCAAGGAACAAGCUCAAAUAUAAUCUUAAGUGUAACAAAAUAUAAACACAGACACGAUUAAAACCAACAACAAUAAACCCCAUUCCACCAUGGGCGCCUUUCAAAAAGCAAAAACAAUGAGCCUCUCCUCAUUAUUAAGUGUAUUUCUACUGCAUGUUAAGUAGCACGAAAAAAAUCUAGUCAAAUUUGUGUUCCCAUAUGCCUACAACAGCACGCCCUAUUCAAAAGCAUAUCAGGACCAUGGUCUCUUAUGCAUCCAAUGAUCGAGUUAAGGAUAAAGAAGCCUAAAAGCUGAGUGAUGGAUGAUAGAGAAUAGCAAGCAUGAGUUGUGUUCCUUCCAAUCCAGAUUUAGUUUAGUGGCUUAUGAUGCUUUGGAAGGUCCUAGUUCCACAUCCGAUCCUAAUCUGCUUAGUGGUGUCACUUAUUUGUGAUUUAUUUGACAUUUCCUAAAAUUGGAUUAUAAAAUCUAAACAAAGAAAAUCUGAGUAAUUAUCACAUAAAUCCUCUAUUCUUACUUCUCACAACUCGCCUUGCUAUGCUAUCCAUUGGGUGGGAAUGGAUAGUUAUAAAAAUGAAAUGUUCCUCAAUUUGGCCUUGAGAUAUCCAAGAGAAAGCAUUCCUGCCAACAAGAAAAAUGUCCCAUAUUGAGGCAGAAGAAGACGAAGAUAAACCGUAAUUCUAUGUAGGACAAGAAAAAAUGUCCCAUAUUGAGGCAAACGAAGAAGAAGAAAAAUCAUAAUUCUAUGUAGGGUUCCCUCUUCAAAUUCCACACCACGUCAUAUUUCUUCCUGCAAAAACAACAAGAAGAGCAGCCAAACACGGUAGGCACUCCAAAUAACAACAACAAUCAAUAGCCAAACACCUUCUUUUAGCACUCCAAAUGAUCUUGUCCCAUCAUGCUUAUCUAAACUCAGAUCAUUGAGUAUAUUAGGAGGAUAAGCUACAGAAGUCAAUACCUAAAUCACUGAUGCUGAGUUGGGUUUCAAGCCAACCAAACAGAUAUAGCUGAAAUCUAAAUAAAGAUGCAAUCCCAUUUACUACAACAUGAACAACAUUAGUAGAGACCAUUACAAAAUAAAAACACAUCAUUUUCCUUCCAAUUUGUUCUCACAUACAACUUGAGAAUGUACAAAAAUCAAACAAAACCCACCUUACACCCCCCCAAACUUACCCAACAUUAAUUCAUGAUGCAGUGUCAUAGAUUAUUGAAGUAGAUAAAAAACAUGAAUUUCAAACCAUAAGAACUUAAAAUCCAUCAGCCUGCUAUCGGAACAACUAAUAUCCCAGAGCUAUAGCUAAAGGGGAACCAAGAAGGAUUAAGAGAUACAUCAAAAGAAAUAAGAAACAGAAACCAGUAUAAUAACAGAAAAAUGAGUUUGAAAAAGUACUUAAAAAAAAAAAAUCAUGAUUUUCUCAUAUUUGAGCUACUAUGAAAGAUACUAAAUAAAAUUGAAUAUAAUUAAAAUUAGUGAGAAACUUAUAUAUUUUCAAAUUAUCUAACACAUGUUAAAAUAAUAUAUAUAAAGUUUUACAGUUAAUUUUUUUGUUCCUUCCACAAACAUAGCUCUCUCUAAGAAUUACUAUCGUCUAUUUUGUCAUGUACUCCACAAUGUGGUUUCAAUUUACUUCUUGUUUUCUAGUUCUUAUCCACACCAGCAUGCCAUCAGUAUGUUGAGUUGCCUACUAUUAACAUUUGUUAAAUGUGCAAAGCCUGAAAGUAACAAUGUACUUGCACUAGGAUUAUUUAGACAAAACACCAACAGAUUCAGAGGCUAAAAAAAUUACAACUAUGUCCUAAAUUUUUUAACAAAUUACCGACGAAUCCAGGGACAUUCAUUACUAACAAAGAGUUCAAAUGAAAUGUAAUCAGAUUGCUGCCAAUCAAGGCAACAAGCUAUUCCAAUCUACCCAUAAAAGUUUAUAUCAACUGCAUCAAAUUCCUGGCCACCAAGAGUUGUAUAAUCUAUAACCAACUUCAAAGCAUAACUUCUUGAACACGUUUAUAUGAUAUAAUAAUAAUGAUAAAGUACAAAUCCCAAGUUAAUGUCAUUAUUCCCUCAACAUGCUACAGUAUAGCAAAUAAGAUUAAAUCUUUUGUUCUUCCUCCUCCCUCCCUUGGAAUUACAGGCAUCCCUGGUACACGGAUUAAAUUAAAAUUAUAAAUCCAAAAUAUUUACCCAAAAGCACUGAUACCGAUUAAUCAGAAUUUGAGAAUUCCACAUAUCAACCUGGAAAUCGUAGAUAUUUUAGAAUAAAAGAAGAAUGAUUCAUUCUACUAUGAAAUUAUAAUAACAAUCUCAAUGAAUCUUUCCAAUCAUCCACCAGAUGGUCACCACACCCUUUCCAUCAAAAUUUCAAAUGAUCCACUCCAAAAGAUCGUAUCCCCUCUGUUAAAGUCCAAUCUGAAAGUAAUCAAUCAAUAAAAAGAAUAGUUCGUGUUGAAGGGGAAAAAGAGUAAAAAUCCAAUCUGACAAGUUCAUAUAAUCAAUAAAAAGAAUGAUUCAUAAGGGGAAAGAAACCUGAAACAACGAGCUUGCCCUUAAAGUAUUUAAAAAUUUGAUCAUCUAAAGGUCACUCCAUGAAAUCCAUGAAUCAUCCACCACACCUAUCACCGUAAAAGCCAAAACUCAUCCCCUCAAUUGAGUCAUUUUAGUAAAUCGUCACUCUUUUGCGAGUACGGUCUUGAAUUGAUCCUGCCCCGAUAUAUCCUGACAAAAAUCCUUUGAGAAAUCUUUCCAUCGUCUUAUCUAUGAAUCCUCCCCCUACUCAUAGUAAAUGCUGAAAAAAAAAAAAAAAAAAAACUCUAAAAUCCUAUCAUCGAUGAUCAUAUAAACCCAACCGCCUUCAUCUUCCACAUCAAUAUCCUUUGCAUAAACAUCUCAACCCCUUUACCUGGAUUUUAUAGGCACCGGAAUUUUCAUACGCAUGUAAACACAUAGACGACAUGUACUAUACGCACAGAGACGACAUGUACAGUACUGUACACAGUACACAGAGAGUCAACACAUGUUGUAACAACAAAAACCGAUGCGAAAUGCACCUGCAAAGCCGACAAGUUCCAUUCUCAGAGAGCCAACAUUUAACGUAGACACUCCGCAAUGACUAGAGGCUCCAUGCAAGAUACUCUCCAUUCAAGAACCAUCAUCUGGAGACAAGAAAUCUAAGAAGGAUGUCGAAAAUCCUUAAAGAAAAUAAAUUCAUCUAAGGGGCAAAAACCAUUUGAUGCAUAUAUAGAAAUAUCAUUCAAAAAGAACAUGUUAAACUCUACGAAUCAGGCUCCUGAAAACAAAUUGUCAAGGAAACAAUCAAAAUAAAGAAUUUUGUCCAAAGCCUUUAUCUUCUAUUAUUAUCUAAUAAUUCCCCCACUACGAAGCCCAACAAUCCUGUUGCACAUGACUACUUACCCUCCUUCUUUUGUUAGCCACUUUGAAGUUUACAUAAAAGGAAAUCCUAGUGGGAUCAUGGAUACAUUUUUAAUGGAAAUCCUAUUACAAUCUGUAUUUUAGCUAUAGUAUAUUUUAUUAUACAUAUAUGAUACACAAUAUGACAUGCCACACCACAAUGCAACAAAUAAAACAUACUCACAUACACAUUCAGCAUUGAAAAAAAAAUCUGUUAACAGAAACACAUUGCCCUCCCAGGAUAAGAAUGAAUUGUGCAAAUUUAUGCGAAAGUAAAAUAGAAUUAGUUGCGAAAGAGUAAAAGUAAGACAAACAAGGGGAAAACUCUCAAAUCAUUGGAUUAGUUGGGACUGACGGGGCUCGAACCCGCAACUUCCGCCUUGCAAUAGCAUUGUUGUCACCAAUUGAACUACAAUCCCAAGGACAG